GUGCAGCCACCUAACAUUGAAGCUUAUGUUCUGCCAAGGCUAGAGAUGAGGUUUGAAACGUUCGAAGAAAGUAAGAACUUCUACAACGUAUAUGCGAAGCACGCUGGUUUUGCUGUCAAGGAAGGCCCCAAGUUUAAGACAAGAGCCUACCUUUAUUGCACGUGCCAUGGAGUUUAUGAAUCAAAGGUGUCUGAAGCAAAUAGACAGCGUAACAAGACGACAGCCAGAACUAACUGCAGGGCUAAAAUGAGGCUGAAGAAGGAAAAGGAUGGAACAUUUGUCGUAAAAGAGAUAGUCUUGGAACACAACCACAGGCUACAGCUCACCGCAGAAAUGCUUGUCUUCUUGCACUCCCACAAAAACUUUGACAAAACAAUCUUGGAGUACGUCAAGUACCUGCAGUUCAAAGGCAUUCAACACGCGCAAAUCAUGAGCAUUCUGGGCGGUGAUGACCCUGGUAGCUACUUCCUCGAAAUGAACGCCAAAGACCUGAUUAACCUGAAAGCAAAGAAUUCAAGCAUGGAUGAUGUGGACGAUGUCCUAAAGAUUGUCAACUUCCUUAGGGAGAUGAAAGCUAUAAACAAAGAAUUCUUCUGUGACAUGCAGCUCGAUGAGUCCGAUAGAGUUAAGAACAUAUUCUGAGUGAACGCAAGCUGCCGAGGGGCGUAUCAGGACUUCGGGGACUGCGUAGCAUUUCAAACAACAUAUAAGACCAACAAGUACCAUAUGCCACUUGGCGUGUUUGUCGGAACUAACAACCACUUACAGACUGCAUUCUUUGGUUUUGCCCUGAUAAGAGAUGAGGAUGCAGAUUCAUUCAAGUGGCUGUUUGAGACAUUUUUAAGGUGCAUGAGAAGGAAGGCUCCUACAUGCAUCCUCACAGACCAGUGCCCGGCAAUGGCUUUGGCGAUCGCAGAUGUUUUCAAGAACACAUUACAUAAGCUAUGCCGCUGGCACAUUAUGAAGAAGUACAGGGAACACCUCGCGUACCUGUAUUUCCUGCACGACGACUUUAAGGAUGAAUUCACAUCAAUUCUCAACUGGCCCCUCAUGCCAACUGAGUUUGAGGAUGCCUGGAAAAGACUGAUGGAUAAGUACAACCUCCACGAUGAUGCAACAAUGGUGGGCAUGUGGAAUGAGUGUGAGAAAUGGAUAUCAGCCUACUUCAAAGAAAUUUUCUGCGCCAAAAUGACAUCGACACAGCGAAGUGAGAGCAUGAACUAUGUGCUCAAGAAGAACUACGUAAAUGAGAGACAUAACCUACACCGGUUUGUCAGCCAGGUAAACUCCUGCGUCAAAACCAGGAGGCAGACAGAGAACCAGGAGACAAUGGGUAACCGGGUAUAG
rnacentral:rRNA from 1 species